UACGUAUGGGGCAAGCGUUAUCCGGAUUUACUGGGUGUAAAGGGAGCGUAGGCGGCCUGGCAAGCCUGAUGUGAAAUACCGGGGCCCAACCCCGGGGCUGCAUUGGGAACUGCCAGGCUGGAGUGCCGGAGAGGCAGGCGGAAUUCCUAGUGUAGCGGUGAAAUGCGUAGAUAUCAGGAGGAACACCGGUGGCGAAGGCGGCUUACUGGACCAUGACUGACGUUGAGGCUCGAAAGCGUGGGGAGCGAACAGG
rnacentral:rRNA from 1 species